GAGCCGGUGCAUCGCUGGACAUCAUCGCUGGAGGACCGAAUGGAGAAGUUCGCCAGUUCUGCUUCUGCCUCUGGUUUCUGGAAUCCGAGAAGACGCCACCGCCACUGCUGGAACUGUUAUUGUUGCUCUGGCUCUGCUCUGGCUCCACUCUGAAUCGUUACCAUCGCUGUUUGGCUGAUGCUGAGGCCUUCCACCAUCAUUGAAGCUUCCCAGAAUCAUCGUGGUUGCUGCCAAGAGAGCUGAAUGGGUGCUAGAAACUGCUAAAAGAGCUACCAUGUUUGAUUAUUUCUACGAGUUGUGACAUCGAGUGACACAGGUUCGAAGACUCAGUUUGAAGCUGCGAGAGAUUAUAGAAUUUACUUAUGAGUUAAGUUACUUUCAUAGAGUUCCCUCGUCCUUAU